rnacentral:tRNA from 1 species
CCCACCCAACCCAAGGAGCUAGUCUAAUGCAAGACCCCUA